GUCACUCCAGACAGAAUCUGCUGGUGUCGACCAAGGAGUUGCCCUUGUUCGGUCAGAUCCUUCUGAAAGGCUUCCGGAUCCACCAUCUGCAUGUUAGACUCUUUAUAAAGGGAAGACAAGAGAAGGUCAUGUUUUCUUUCCGUGCUUUCCUCUACAAGAGGUGAGAGGAUUUGCCUGUGUCUCAGAGUGGCUCGGAAAAUCCAACUCGGUCCUAGACACCGAAAUAAUUAAUCCCCUCGGUGUUGGCUCUUCUUUCACCCUUUCAAUGAUUCUCGUAGCGGCUUACCAGCCCGCUGGAGCCUGGAAGAAGAGCAGAGGAAAUAAAAGGCAGCCAGAGAUUCAUCAGAGAUGAGGACGUCUUAAUGUGGACUCUCUCCCUCCAUCCCCCUUCAAAUCCAACCCUGCAUGCUCUGGAGACUAUGAAAGACCCCUCAUCCCUCAUUCAUGAUAAAGAAAAGAUAAUUUAGCUAGUUUCAUUUCCUUUUUCAAUUAUGCUCAGAGGACUUUGUUGUGCCAUAAUUAACAUUUCCAUGGUUGAAAAGUGCAAAAAGAAGCAUUCCAAGCUAAAACUCUGGUGGAGAACGACCAGUUAUUGGGGUAGUCAUUAUGUUAAGGGAAACUAAAAUUCAGUCAGCAAAACUUACAGUACCUUCACCUGCCUUCAUUUAACCUUUAUAUUAUUGAGAGUUUCACCCUUUUCUUAAAUGUUUGAUUUUGUGAGUAAAGAAAAUAAAAAAAAAGUAAAGAAAAAACUGAUGUGCCGUUAGAGGAUGAACCUAUUGGUCUUUACAUUUUGUAGAGGCUCUUUAAGAAGGUUCUUCAAACAUAUUUUGUUUACAAAAGGUAUCAACUGAAAGGCUCUUUUGAGAAGCAAAAGUGGUUCUUCUAUGCAACCUUUAUUUUUAAACGCGUUUCAAAGCAUUGUAAUUACAGGUGAGAUAAUUAUUAAACUGGUAAACAUUAUUUGGAAAUAUAGCAUUUAAAAGCUCAAAGUUUCUAAAUAUCACAAAAAGGUGUUUCUUGAAGUGCUGUAGUAAAGGCUGUGGUUAUAUAUAGAACCAUUUGAAUGCUAUAAUAGCUCUUUGUGUAGUUAAACUCUACUGUAUGAUGGACAAUCUCUUAUAGAUGGUUCUUUAAAGAACAUUAAAUGGUUAUUUUUAAAUAAAUAGUUCUAUAUAACACCGAAAAGUGUUCUGCUGCUGUUCCACAUGAUCAAUUUACAUAUUUACAUAAGUACAUAAUUUUUUUCCAUUUCAUGUUCCAAAAUCCUAUAAUGUAUAUAAAUAUUGUUUACGAUUUCAAAUGUUGUUCAAUUGUUAUCAUGAAAGUAAUAAUUCUCUGUCAGCAGAAAGUCUAGCCGAGUGUCGGAGCACAUGGGAAAUUCCAACCAGGUGUGUCUCUAUUGGGCUUAAGAUCAUUCGGGCAGAAUAGAGCUUUUAAAGACAGAGAGGCUAUGAAGGCUCGUCCAUGAUUACAGAGAAAAGGGGGCAUGGUUUCCACAGCAGGGCUUCGUAUUGACUACAGUAAAUAUGGGGAAUAUAAACUAAUCCUACCAGUAAAGGCUGCAGGCACUCCUGAAAGUCAUGCAAAUCCAUUGACCGUCUUCUCUAUAAUCUUAGUAUUAAUCUCAGCUUUAGCAAGGUUGUUUAUUAGCGUACUCCCCUAGAGCGAACGAUAACAUCGGCUGUAAUAUCUCUAUUUUGCAGGGUGAGGAAGACUGUCCUGUAGAGCUUCAGAAAUGAGAAUUAUAAGCCUCUACUAGUGUCUUCACUCAUUAGCUAUUUUUUGUUCAUAGUAACAUUGUAUAUACAGUAUGGAAAUUGUAUGGUUUGUAUGCACAAUGUUCUACUAUAUUUUGUCUGUAAUAAUGUUUUAACAUUCUUGUUUAAACAUUUAAG